CGCCCAAACAAGUCAUCCUUGUAAACAUAUCUAACGCACCUGUAUUACCGUAGUUUGGCACGCGCAUUUACGCUGGGCUCAGAGACCAAAUCCGAGCUCGUGCACUAAAUCCAUUUGAAAGCAAAGAGGCCGCGGGUUGCUUUGCGCUUCUUUCCUAGAGUCGCUCAAUCCGCUCGGUUUAAUCUUCGGACCGAGGGUUACCCGGUGUUCUGAGCGCGGCAGCGGUCCUUCGGUUAACGACGCACUGACAGCGCGGGAGCGGUUCGGAGAGAAGAAUGGAGAGUUCAAGCAACACUGCGGCGGCCAAGGCUGCGGACCCCAACAGCUCCCAGGCUGCCGCCUCCGGAGCGGCUGAAGACAAAGCCACCGCUCCGCAGAAUGUAGCGUCGACAACCCCGACGAGAAUCUCAAGGCCCGCCCGCACGGAGACUGUGAAGGGCCAGAUCUUUGACGUGGGCCCCCGCUAUGUGGACCUGUGUUACAUCGGGGAGGGGGCGUACGGGAUGGUGGUCUCUGCUCAGGAUGUCGUAAGAAACACGCGUGUGGCCAUCAAGAAGAUCAGCCCGUUUGAGCACCAGACCUACUGCCAGCGCACGCUGAGGGAAAUUAAGAUCCUGCUGCGCUUCAACCAUGAGAACAUCAUCGGGAUCAACGACAUCAUCAGGGCAAAGCACAUUGACAACAUGAAAGACGUCUACAUCGUGCAGACUCUCAUGGAGACAGACUUGUACAAGCUGCUGAAGACCCAGAAGUUGAGCAACGACCACGUCUGCUACUUCCUCUACCAGAUGCUGAGAGGCCUCAAGUAUAUCCACUCUGCCAACGUGUUGCAUCGUGACCUCAAGCCCUCCAACCUGCUCAUCAACACCACCUGCGACCUCAAGAUCUGUGACUUUGGGCUGGCACGGAUAGCCGAUCCUGAACACGACCACACCGGCUUCCUGACUGAAUAUGUGGCAACACGUUGGUACAGGGCUCCAGAAAUCAUGCUCAACUCUAAGGGCUAUUCCAAGUCCAUUGACAUCUGGUCUGUGGGCUGCAUCCUAGCUGAAAUGCUCUCCAACAGGCCAAUAUUCCCUGGGAAACACUACUUGGAUCAGCUCAACCACAUCUUAAGCAUUCUUGGCUCGCCAUCUGAAGAAGAUCUGAACUGCAUCAUUAACGUAAAGGCCAGGAACUACCUGCAGUCCCUGCCGGACAGAGACAAGGUCCCCCUGGAAAAGCUCUUCCAAAAGUCAGACCCCAAAGCUCUGGAGCUGUUGGGCUUCAUGUUGACCUUUAACCCCAACAAGCGCAUUACUGUUGACGAGGCCCUGGCUCACCUGUAUCUGGAGCAGUAUUAUGAUCCCACAGAUGAGCCCGUGGCAGAGGAGCCCUUCACUUUCAGUAUGGAGCUGGAUGAUCUUCCCAAGGAGAAGCUGAAGGAGAUGAUCUUUGAAGAAACGGCUCGUUUCCAGUUCUCCUGAGACGGCCUUUAGCGUGUCAAUCAUGUUGGCUGUACAUGCUGUCUGUCCAAACAAGCCAUUCAAUUGUCCUAACCUGUGACGAGGCCACACACGGACUUGGAUCAAGAAGACCCUGAACGACAUGCUUAAAGAAAAAAAACCUGCAUCUUCGAGAAACCAACAAGUGAAAACAGGAAAUAUGAACAUUUAACUGCUUAUCUUUGCAUUUCCUACUGCGAGGGAGAUUUAAGUGUAAGUUAGAUGUCUGUGGCUGGGUGGGGUUAUGGCGUCUGUCCAAGCCCGUUAGGUCCGCGGUGAACUCCUCACCUCGCCUCAUGCCUGUUUUCUUCUUCAAAGUCCCUCUUCACUCUUUUUUUCUUACGUCCGCCGUCUCCUCAUCGAUCUGUCUCUCAUCGGUUACUCCGCUCUCGUUUCUACCCCGACUACUGUAUUAACCAACACCCUAACGCUCACUCAAGUCUUGAUCAAUGUGAACUAUUCUUACUGAGGGCUAAAAGAACAGCGAUGCUAACAGGGUGUGUGCAUGUACAUAGAAAAUAUAAAAGCUUUGGUUGGUCUGUUUGAUUUUAAAUGUGCUUGUUGCAGGUUUUGUUUGUGAAAGUAUUUUUGGAGUUAAUUAUUCGCGAGUUCUGUUCGAACGCUUGAUUUCUAGGCUAACGUCCAAUGUUUUUAGAGGCAUGUUGGCAGGAUUUCUGUGUAGUUUUUGUUUUCAGGCAAAAGAAAUGUUGUGAUGCUCAUUUAAAGAAUGCAAUCCUGGGAUUUACCAAAGUGGCAGAGAAGAACGUACAUCAGAUGCUACGUAAAUAAUUGGAUAUAAAGUUUCAGCUGUGACACCAAAGUCUCAUUCUCCUGAACCUUUGAGGUGUUUCCUGACCCCCACCCCCCCACCCCCCCCACCCCCGAGCCGUAAGUUUAAAGCUCUCCUGUUGCUCUACGGAGGCGGGUGACUUGGGAGCUACUCACCCCUCAGUAGUUGUUCAGCCGGACCCGCAACCCCUCGGUUGACCCGUGUACCGUUAAAGGAACUGGUAUUUGUUCAUUACAAUGGAAUGCACUCGUGAUCCGACUCGCUCAGACAGCAGAAAAUGUUUGAGUGUUUAAUCGACAACAAAAUGAUUGAGCAGUAGUCGCAUGAGUUUUUUUCCCUCCCUCUGCUUGUAGCUGUGCUUCUGCUUGACCUCUCUGCGUUGUCAUGGUUACGGUUAACAAACAGGAUGUGUACGCUUCAUCGUGAGUGAUGCAGUGCUACGGUUGUGCUCAUUUCUUCUGCGAGUGUGCCUCAGUAUUACUCCUCCAUCGGCCGUCAAUGCGCUCCGCCUGUCUCGGGUCCUGUCCAGUCUGCUUUAAUGUUUUUGCCUGUUCCACUGGGACCAGUAAAAGAGAAGCCUGCAAAAAUGGACCAACCCUGCGCUGGAAUGCUGGUUUAGGUGCUGCAAUGCAGAUCCGACUGGCGUGAGCGUGCCUGGUUUGUUUUUAGGAGCUGCAUCGGCCACUGUUCUCUCUGAAGCCAUAGCCAGCGCUCUGGGACUGAUGUGCAGUGAUGAUUAUUCAUGCUCAACUCCCACCAUGCUUUACUCAAAGGGCUGCCUCCUCCUCCUCCUCCUUUUAAAGUCUGACUCCACUCAGAAAACCAUUCUCUCUCUCUGGCUCAUCUGGAUCAUGCACAGCAGGACACCUGCAGUCACACGACUCAAUCAGCACGUCUGCACUUUGUCUUUCAAGCCACGCCCCCUCAUUCCUUUUUUAAGGCCUUCAUAUCUUCUGUCCUGCUUGUAAAGCUUUCCGUUUCUUGUGCGUUAAUAACUAAUCAAGUGUCCAUCAGUGUAAGACUGUUUGUAUCUACUCCAUAAAGCCAAGGCUCUUCUUUGUGUGUUUGUGGGGUUUUCUUGGGUCCUCUGGCUCUGACACAGCUCUGGAGGUUUCGUGUACGCUUUGUUUUGGUUUUCUUUCUCUGAUCUGGGUAAACUAGAAGGUUGCCAUCCUACGGUCCUCCUCUCUCUCUCACACACACACACACCCUCAUGUUUCUGAGGAGCGCGUCAGCGUUUUUUUUGGACAAGUUGCACUUAAUCACACACUGUAUGGACCGGGCCCUUUUCCUGACGUUGCUUUUAAAUGGCUGUUCUUAUUAAUGUUAUCGUUGUUAUAUUGGUGAAAUGUUGUAUUAAUUUUUAUGUAAAAGGGAGUUUGAAAUAUAUAUUUUUUAUUAGUAUGUUUUAUUUGGGGUUUUUCUUUCAGGUGUUAUUGUUGGCAGUGUUUUCAGUCUUUCUGAAACUUACAUAUUGUUUCGUUCCCCCUUAAAUGUCUUCUAAAGAGUUAUUUUAAAAGAUUAUUUACUGAGAUUGUCAGAGAUAUGAGUUAUUGACGGUUAUAGUCCGUAUAUUCUAUGGGUAUUAUGAAUUAAACCAUUAACAGAAACAGAAUUAUACACAUGUAAUUAAAUAAAAAGUUCCUCAUACUGUAAAA